AUGGGGAAGAAGAAGGAGCGGUCAGUGAAUGUGUCGGGCAAGCCCCGUCACUCUCUCGACGUCAACCGCCCCAAUGACAAGAAGGGUGCUGGCGGCGACGGCGGCGCCGGCGGGAGCCGGUCCGCGGCCACGGUGCGGCGGCUCAAGAUGUACAAACUAAGGUCAGUGAGGGACCGCGGUGGGAAGAUCGUCAAGCACGAUCUCCAGUCCAAGGAGCUCCCCAACACCUGCAUCGAGCCUGACCGCCGGUGGUUCGGAAAUACACGAGUUAUCAAUCAGAAAGAACUUGAAUAUUUCAGGCAAGAACUCCAGGCACGGCUUACAAAUAACUACAGUGUGUUACUAAAAUCUAAACAUCUGCCACUAUUGCUUCUGCAGGAUCAUCAGAAGCAAGCUCGUGCACAUCUUCUUGACACUGAGCUUUUUGAGCAUGCCUUUGGACCAAAGGGCAAGCGUAAACGACCACAACUAUCCAGUCUCGAUUAUGAAUCUCUAAUAAAGAAAGCUGAUGAUUCUCAAGAUGCGUUUGAGUAA
rnacentral:rRNA from 1 species